UACAGAGGUCUCAAGCGUUGUUCGGAUUCAUUGGGCGUAAAGAGCUCGUAGGCGGCCUGUUGCGUCCGCUGUGAAAGCCCGGGGCUUAACCCCGGGUCGGCAGUGGAUACGGGCAGGCUAGAGGUAGGUAGGGGAGAAUGGAAUUCCCGGUGUAGCGGUGAAAUGCGCAGAUAUCGGGAGGAACACCGGUGGCGAAGGCGGUUCUCUGGGCCUUACCUGACGCUGAGGAGCGAAAGCGUGGGGAGCGAACAGG
rnacentral:rRNA from 1 species